rnacentral:rRNA from 1 species
GAGAAAGUACCAUAAGGGAAUGGUGAAAGAAAUCUUAAAAGUCAUAAACAGCACAGAUUAUCCCUUUUACCUUUUGCAUAAUGAAUUACUAUUAUUACUAGAAUAAUUUAACAGAGAACUUAAGCUAAACCCUCCGAAACCAGAUGAGCUACCUAUGAACAAUCCACUGGGAUGAACUCAUCUAGGUUGCAAAACAGUGAGAAGAUUUAUAGAUAGAGGUGAAAAGCCUAACAAGCCUGGCAAUAGCUGGUUACCCAGAACAGAAUUUCAGUUCAACUUUAAACUUACCUAAAAAAUCCUAAAAUUCUAAUGUAAGUUUAAAAUGUAAUCUAAAAGGGUACAGAUUUCCAGAAAAAAGGAUACAACCUUGUUUAGAGAGUAAGAAUAAAUAAUACCACAGUAGGCUUAAAAGCAGCCAUCAAUUAAGAAAGCUCAACAAUGAACCUAAUUUAAUACCAAAAAUAUUUAACCAGCUCCUAACAUGAUACUAGGUUAAUCUAUUUAAUAAUAGAAACAAUAAUACUAACAUGAGUAACAAUUAUUUCUUCUUGCAUAAGCUUACAUCAGAACAGAUAACCACUGAUAGUUAAUGACAAGAUAAAACUAAUCCAACAAUAAAACGCUUAUCAAACUCAUUGUUAAUUCAACACUGGUAUUUGACUAAGGAAAGAUUAAAAGAAGUAAAAGGAAUUUGGCAAACAUAAACCAUCCCUCUUUGCCAAAACAUCACCUCCAGCAUUUCCAGUAUCAGAAGCACUGCCUGCCCAGUGACAUUUGUUAAAGGGUCACAGUAUCCUGACCAUGCAAAGGUAGCAUAAGUGUUUGUUCUCUAAAUAAGGACUCGUAUAAAUGGCCACAUGAGGGUUUAACUGUCUCUUACUUCCAAUCAGUGAAAUUGUCCUUCCCGUGAAGAGGCAAGGAUAAAAUAAUAAUAUGAGAAGACCCUAUGGAGCUUUAAUUACUAACCCAAAUAGAUUGACUUAAUUCAACUGAUCAGGGAUAACAAUUUUCUAUUAUGGGCUAGCAAUUUAGGUUGGGGUGACCUGAGGGAACAAAAUAAACUCUGAGUGAUAAAAAUCUAGACUUACAAGUCAAAAUAUCUUAUCAUUUAUUGAUCCAAAAAUUUUGAUCAAUGGAACAAGUUACCCUAGGAAUAACAGUGUAAUCCUACUUGAGAGUUCAUUUCGACAAUGGGGUUUACGACCUCAAUGUUUGAAUCAGGACAUCCUAAUGGUGCAGCAGCUGUUAAGUGUUCAUUUGCUCAACGAUUAAAGUCCUACGUGAUCUGAAUUCAGACCAGAGUAAUCCAGGUCCAUUUCUAUCUACUAAAUAAUUUCUCCC